GAUGAAAGCUGGCGGCGUGCCUAAUACAUGCAAGUCGAGCGAACAGACGAGGAGCUUGCUCCUCUGACGUUAGCGGCGGACGGGUGAGUAACACGUGGAUAACCUACCUAUAAGACUGGGAUAACUUCGGGAAACCGGAGCUAAUACCGGAUAAUAUAUUGAACCGCAUGGUUCAAUAGUGAAAGACGGUUUUGCUGUCACUUAUAGAUGGAUCCGCGCCGCAUUAGCUAGUUGGUAAGGUAACGGCUUACCAAGGCGACGAUGCGUAGCCGACCUGAGAGGGUGAUCGGCCACACUGGAACUGAGACACGGUCCAGACUCCUACGGGAGGCAGCAGUAGGGAAUCUUCCGCAAUGGGCGAAAGCCUGACGGAGCAACGCCGCGUGAGUGAUGAAGGUCUUCGGAUCGUAAAACUCUGUUAUUAGGAAAGAACAAAUGUGUAAGUAACUAUGCACGUCUUGACGGUACCUAAUCAGAAAGCCACGGCUAACUACGUG
rnacentral:rRNA from 1 species